UGUGUGAGAGUUUCUGUGACAGUGUACGUGUGUGUGAGAGUGUCUGAGGCAGGGUACGUGUGUGUGAGAGUGUCUGUGACAGUGUACACGUGUGUGAGAGUGUCUGCGACAGUGUAUGUGUGUGUGAGAGUGUCUGAGGCAGGGUAUAUGUGUGUGAGAGUGUCUGUGACAGUGUACGUGUGUGUGAGAGUGUCUGAGGCAGGGUACGUGUGUGUGUGAGAGUGUCUGAGGCAGGAUAUGUGUGAGAGUGUCUGUGACAGUGUACGCGUGUGUGAGAGUGUCUGUGGCAGGGUACGUGUGUGUGUGAGAGUGUCUGAGGCAGGAUAUGUGUGAGAGUGUCUGUGACAGUGUACGCGUGUGUGAGAGUGUCUGUGACAGUGUACGCGUGUGUGAGAGUGUCUGUGACAGUGUACGCGUGUGUGAGAGUGUCUGUGACAGUGUACGUGUGUGUGAGAGUGUCUGUGACAGUGUACGCGUGUGUGAGAGUGUCUGUGGCAGGGUACGUGUGUGUGUGAGAGUGUCUGAGGCAGGAUAUGUGUGAGAGUGUCUGUGACAGUGUACGCGUGUGUGAGAGUGUCUGUGACAGUGUACGUGUGUGUGAGAGUGUCUGCAGUAGGAUACGUGUGUGUUAGUGUGUCUGUGGAAGGGUACGUGUGUACGAGAGUGUCUGCGGCAGGGUACGUGUGUGUGAGAGUGUUUGCGGCAGGAUACGUGUGUGUAAGAGUGUCUGUGGCAGGGUAAGUGUGUGUGACAGUGUCUGUGACAGUGUACGCGUCUGUGAGAGUGUAUGUGACAGUGUACGCGUGUGUGAGAGUGUAUGUGACAGUGUACGCGUGUGUGUGAGUGUCUGUGACAGGGUAUGUGUGUGUGUGAGAGUGUCUGAGGCAGGGUAAGCGUGUG